GUACUCCCUUCGGCAGCACAUAUACUAAAACUGGAACAAUACAGAGAAGAUUUGCAUGGCCCCUGCACAAGAAUAACAGGCAAAUUUGUGAAGCAUUCCAUAUUUUU
ensembl:snRNA U6 U6 spliceosomal RNA